AUCCAACUGACGAGUCCCAAAUAGGACCAAACGCGCGUCCCUAAU
rnacentral:hammerhead_ribozyme from 1 species